rnacentral:rRNA from 1 species
GUCAACGACCAUACCACGUUGAAAACACCGGAUCUCGUCCGAUCACCGAAGAUAAGCAAAGUUGGGCAUAGUUAGUACUUAGAUGGGUGACCGCAUGGGAACAUUCUUUUUUCCACU